GUUGAGUACGCAGAAAGGUGUCACAUUCAUUAUUGGGAGAGGAUCUAACGUAAGGAAGUGUAUUUAAUGAACACUGCGUGCAUUAAAUCCAGUUCUCACAUUUGACCCCGUCUGUGGCAAAUUGAAUACAUCUGGAACAUAGAUACCACAUCCAGCAUUGAAAGUUGUAUCCAAGUUUUGUCAUGGAGGGCGGAAUUGGAGUGAUCUCUACGGAGCUAUGCUUAGCAAUGCUGUGACACAUGGUGGGUAGGUCCAGAAUUCCAUACCGUAUAACCUACUACAGCUGUGUUUCACCCGCAUCUGAACUACCCACCAAUUGGAGCAGCGCUUAUCAUUGAAAGUUCGUGAAGUCCCUGAUUAACUAUCACCUUCGAAAGCGGAUUUCUGCAGGUUAUAAUAUAUCAUCUUUCUUAGUGGAUGGUUUCUACGGGUUUAAAGCGUAGGAAUGAUAAGAGAAGCUCAAAGAAUUGCAGAGCCUAACCUGAGAGAUAGCUUUGGAGACGAUCUUCAAAUUCGUUUCUUCCUCAAUAU
rnacentral:lncRNA from 1 species